ACCUCUUGAGUCUGGCCCAAUUACUUGCACUUGUUAACAACCUGGUAUGCCAAAACAAGAAUCAACCCCUAAAGCCACCAAGUCUGCUGAUGAGUCUCAGCAAUCAGAUGCCACACUUAUUGCUAACGGUUUAAGUUCAAAAAAGCGGAGAAUAAUCCAUAGGAAGGCUAACAAAAAGGCACGAUUGGAAGCUCAGUUACAGUCUUUAUCUGCUAACCAAGUUUUUCCUUGUACUUCCAUGGCACAAUAACAAUGUGUAAGUGCAGGUGGCCUAACCAAGUUUCUCUUUGUACGUCCAUGGCACAUUAACGAUGUGUAAAUGUAAUAGAAUUAGAAUUAUAAAAUCACAUGAUCAAUAUCAGGAAAAUAACAUAGGUGGCACCUAGUCAAUGACCUCUUAGUCAUAGUCACUAAGUACUUUAAGUAAUGUGAUUGUGUAGCAUUAUAACAUGUUUAUCUUCAUGUUGUUCCUAGUCCUAGCAACUGUAUUGAUGUUUGUGAAAUUGUGUUACUUAUUAACAUUGAAUGUCUUCAUGUUGUUCCUA